rnacentral:RNase_P_RNA from 1 species
GCUUGCCGGCUUGUCGCUGGCCCCUCGGGGCAAGAGGAAAGUCCGGGCAACACAGGGCAAUCCGCUUCCUAACGGGAAGUAGUCCGCGAGGGCUAGUCGAUGCAGAAGAAAAUAACCGCCGCCAGGUCAACACCUGCGGUAAGGGUGAGAAGGUGGGGCAAGAGCCCACCAGGCGCGUGGCGACACGCGUGCUGUGCAUCCCGGAUGUUGAAAGUUCAUGUAUACCGGCGACUGAGGGCGGCCCGCCCGAGCUGGAGGGUAGAACGAUAGAGACCGACUGGCAACAGCGGUCGUAGAUAAAUGACAAGCGGCAGCGCAAGCUGCGCACAGAACCCGGCUUACAGGCGACCUCUU